GGCCAACGGGUGCGUAACACCUGAGCAACAUGCCCCGAACACCGGGAUAGCCCGGGGGAAACCCCGGGUUAUUACCGGAUACCUUCAUCAUUCCGCAUGGUGAGAUGAAGAAAUGUGUUUGCCCUUCUGGAUGGGCUCGCGGCCUAUCAACUACUUGGUGGGGUACAGGCCCUACCAAGGUAUCCACGGGUAUCUGGUCUAGACAGGACGAUCAGCCACUCUGGGACUGAGACACGGCCCAGACUCCUACGGGAGGCAGCACCAGGUAAUAUUGCGCAAUGGUGCGAAAGCCUGACGCAGCAACGCCGUGUGGGGGAUGAAGGCCUUCGGGGUUGUAAACCACUUUCGGGAGGGAAGAAAUUGACGGUAGCCUCCUAAAGAAGCCCCGGCAAACUACGUGCCAGCAGCCGCGGUAAUACGUAGGGGGCAAGCGUUGUCCGGAAUCAUUGGGCGUAAAGAGCUCGUAGGCGGCUCAGUAAGUCGCCUGUGCAAGCCCGGGGCUCAACCCCGGAACAGCAGUCGAUACUGCUGUGGCUAGAGUCCGGUAGAGGAAGCUGGAAUACCCGGUGUAGCGGUGGAAUCCGCAGAUAUCGGCAGGAACACCCGUAGCGAAGGCGGCCUU
rnacentral:rRNA from 1 species